GAGAUAUUUGGUUAUCAUUGUCCACUCUUGUCCUGUUGCCCGUGGAUGCUUCUAAGUGGAACCGAAGGUGGGGAGUAGGACAUAUUGUAGGAAAGGGUUGACUCUUAUUUAAAUAAUUACAGUCAGCAAACUCCAGUAGUCACCUAAUACUUUCUUGAGCUGUCUCCUUGUUUUCUAAGUCUGAUAUGAUUUUACUUCUAUUCUCAAAAUUGUAUUCUUUGCUCAUAAACUUAUAAUUUUGUUAAUUUGUGUUUCAAUUGGGAUUUUACCAUUUUUCUUUCACUAGACAAUUGCUGAUGUACCUUAUACUGUUCCUUCUUCUUUAGUAUCUUUAGUGGAGGAUGAUAGACUGAAAUCAGACUGACUUGAGUCUG
rnacentral:lncRNA from 1 species